rnacentral:rRNA from 1 species
GACGAACGCUGGCGGCGUGCUUAACACAUGCAAGUCGAGCGGUAAGGCCCUUUCGGGGGUACACGAGCGGCGAACGGGUGAGUAACACGUGGGUGACCUGCCCUCAGCUCUGGGAUAAGCCUGGGAAACCGGGUCUAAUACCGGAUAUGACUCCAUGACGCAUGUUGUGGGGUGGAAAGCCUUGUGCGGCUGAGGAUGGGCCCGCGGCCUAUCAGCUUGUUGGUGGGGUGANGGCCUACCAAGGCGACGACGGGUAGCCGGCCUGAGAGGGCGACCGGCAC